GGGCACGGAUAGCUUCCAUUGAUUAUGAGGCAAGGCGAGCGUCGUUAAUGGCUGACAGCGACAUUUAUCGCGUCAAUGGACGCCGACCGUCUAUAUUCCCACGUGACGACCUCAGUUACUACGCUAUAAAUACACGCUUGUCUUCUCCUCGAGCUCUCUUCUCUCUCUCUCUUCUCCUGUCUCUCUCGCCGGACUAUUCGUGCCUGGACAUUUUCGGUGGCGCGGAUGGAUUAAGAUUCUUCGAGCGGAUCCAACGUGGUGAUUUUUACCGACACCCGAGUAUUAUUUCGAGGUAACGACGAUGAAUACGUCGGGAAGGGAGAAUUGGAUUAACAUUGGGAAAAAUAUUGACGAAUUCGAUGUUUGCUGGCUGUGAAAAGGGAGGGAAGAAAGGAAGGGAGAUAUCCGUUUCGAUUAAACGUUAUUCGAAUGGAAACUGUCAACAUUCCUUGGGCGAUGGGAUCGGCAGUAUUCUCAUCUUGGGACGCAAUUAAUAUCGAAAACGGGGAUGCGUUAAAAUUGAAUUAAUUACGAGCAAUCGAUUACGCCUGUGGUCCGCGGUGCCAGUGAAUAUUAGACAAACGUGUGUGUGUGUACAAUGCGAGUUACUUGAUGGUCGGUUGCACUGAUUAGUGACAGCCACAUCGUCGAACGGGCAUAUUGAAACUCUUGGUUACAUCGUAAACCAGUCCCAGUGCAAUCUGCAACUAUGUUAUGUCGCAGUUAGACGCGAAGUGUCUGCAUGCCAUCGAUAUAUACACACGUAUAAAGAAAACUGUUAGAAAACGGCGAACGGCGACGCUGCGAAACAAUGUUCCAAUGAUUAACAAUUCGAUAUCCGUUCCGCUCUGUAACGGAUCGUUAAUCCCGGCAUCCAUGAAAACAAUUUAUUUCGCCGAAUUACCGGCCCGUCAAUGUCGGUCGCCUUUUACACGUAGCAUAAUGAUACAGGCCGUGCUCGUACUCGAAAACGGGCGGAAAAUUGAUGUUCGAAGCGUAGCUGACAUCGAUCCAGGGAGGGGAGAGAGGGGAGGAGGAGGAGGAGGAGAGGAUUUUCCCGUCGGGCGGUUCUUUUCCGUCCGGCUCGAUGAUCCGGACGUCGAAGAUCGAUGACGAUCGCGCGUUGUUCCGCGCGAUGAUCUCGCAUCGUUGGUGGCGUGUAUGUGUGUAACUAUGGAGCCAGCGCGUUUACACGUCGAAUCGCGGGAAGAGAGCCAGGACAAAAAGCCAGUCUAAGCCUCGAUUUCCUCUCUCUCUCUCUCCCCCCUCGUAUUAUAAUUUGACAAUUUCGACGUGGGAAUAUCGGUUGCCAACUGGAUGAGGCAUGUCCGAUACAUAUAACGCCGUGGAGAAAUUAAUUUGACCUUUUGAGAGAAUUUUGGCAAACGGAUCGAGGGGGGACAGACACGGUCACUUUGAAGAUCGGCUCGACUUUUUUCGAGAAGAAGUUGUGGAAAGAUAGAUCCUUGAAGGGAUCGAAAGGAUCAUAAAGGAAAAGCACGUGUAAUAUAUUUUAACUGUCCAGAGGUAUUCCAUUAUUAUUCGAAAUAUUAUUGGCAAUACCAGAAAUAGAAGAUGAUUGAGACGAAAGAUUUGGGAAAAAAGAGAGCAAGAAAACAAAGGAUAGUUUUGUUAGAAAAAAAAAUUAGCUCGUAACCACGAAUAUUUCAAUGUUCGAGCGAUAUAUGUGACUGAGCGAGGUUGAGUCGGUUGGUAGAUGAUAACGGGAGCCGCGAAAUCGUGUGCCGCCUAGACGAAUUUCCAAUAUAAAUAUUUGAGUUUGUUGGAUUUUGCGGCGAAUCGCGCGAUCCGCGUUCGUUUGCCUUUCGAGAGGUUGAACGUGGCUCCCGCGCGUACCACGUUCUCGCAAUUCGUUGAUUACUUUUGCGAUUGGAAUCGAGACAACGUUCAUUGAAUCGUGAAACAUUUGACGGACAAGGAUGUAAAAAAAAAAAAAGAAAGAAGGAAAAAGUUAUCAAAAACUUUCCUUGAACAUCGCACAUUUCACAUGAAUCGUAACAGCACUUCAUCAACCCUUAUUUCGACCAACCAAAGUUUUAUCCACUAUGAUUAUAAUAAUUUCAAGUUGAAUAAAAUUUCAAACUUAAAAUAUAAAUCCGUAACGAAUACCAAAUUGGAUUCGAAAAUAACAAUUCUAAUUUUUAAAUUAUAAUACGCGUAUACGAAUCCAUCCCAACCCUUCCACGCUCCAAGGAGAAACGGCACCUUACAAAUCGUCAAAAAAUUUCCUGCCCAAUCGAGUCCAAUUCGACCUGAAUGAAUCAACGUCUCGUUGCGAGAUCGCCUUCCCUCCAAAGCAUCUGCCCUGCGCGAACAGACGCAGGAAGGAAGGGGGAAGGAUUAUUUUCCACGGGCUAUUCCCGGCAGCAUCCAUCUCCGGCGAAGGGCUCCUCGUUCCGCAAAUUGGCGUCGAGUUAUCCAAGUGGCCGCUGACGACCCGUGGCGUCGAAGGAGCGAGGGAACGUCGAAGACGAGAGGGCGUUGGGACGAGGGCGAGGAAGGGAUGCAGCUGGGAUAGCUGGUUCGGAUUUAGAUGGGAGGAGGGGUUCGAGUGGAUGCGGAUACUGCAGUCGGGCCAGGUUCGAUUUCGCCUCCGUAUCCGAGUGGAUACGGACGCCGUGAUCCACCAACUUGCUCCACGCUCCUCCACACCACGUUGCGCGAGUGUACGACGACUAAUCUGGGGUUAAGCCUGAGAAACUCGCGGGAGAAAGAGGAGAGGGAUGAAGGGAGACGGUGAGGAGCGUGACGAGGGGGUGAAAGAGAGGUCGGAAUUAAGCCGAAUCUCGAACCGGGGCCUCGGCCCAUAACCCGACUCCCAACCACUGUGUACAGGGAGAUGCACUAGCCUAACUCCACUUAAAUUAAAGCAAUCUAUCCUGCGGAACUCUUGCGCUAAGCCGGCAGGUUAAGCGACCGAUUACCGCGAGGAAGAGGGGCGGUGUCGUUUUCGUAAGCUCGUGCACCCUGGAAAACCACUUUCCUUUACUUUCCAUCCGAACACGUUGUCGCCUCGUCGCCGAGGAUUUAACCCUUUCGCUGAUCUCACACGAUCUUGCUCUCUCUUUCUUCGCCCCUUUCUUUUCUUCGCCGGGGGAUGGACGAUUGAACCCGAAAAUCGAGAACGAAAGAUUCUUCUCACGAGGAAUUCUUUCGAAAAAAAUUAAACGAGCGUAGAGUAAAGGAUGUUUCGAAGAUAAAAUUUUCAUGGAUGGGAUCGAAGGAAUAUACCCGUAAAAAAUCAUCCGCAAUUUGGCGAUGAAAUUCAAUUUCACGAAUUUCCACGUUAAUGAAUAUACGUUGCCUGUCUUAGGAUAUUUUCAAAUAUAUAAAAGAUGAGAUUAGACGACUUAACGCGAUGUUCAAAUUAACUCGACACGAGUGCAGAGUUUUGUUGUUAAUUCAAGCUGUUCCAUUUCGCCGAGAGAAAUUUUACCGCGCCUUAAAUUUAGAAUUCUAAUAACGAUUAAUAUAAUACGUAACGUACGUAAGGCGCAUCGCCGCGCCAGUAAUAAAGACUGUAAUAUCGUUGCACGAAGGAAUUUUCCUGGAACGGAAUUACGCAACGUCUCGAGCGAAAUUUCCACGGAAACACGGUUCACGGGGAGGGGCGAGAAAUGACACACGGUUGGCUUGAUUCAUUUCGAAGAAACGCGUUUAAGAACAAUUACCCGAUCGAUUACUGUUAAACGAAUUAAACGGGAAGAGGGAAGAGAGGGGAAAUGCGCUCCGCGGGAGUAAAUGGAUCCUCCAGUUUCCAUUUUUCAACUUUUAGCGUCUUAGAUUUGCUUUGCCAAGAUAGAUAGGAUUAAAUCGUUGCCCGUUUCCAUUCAAAUGAAUUUUUCAUGUCUCAUGAGGAAGGAAGGAAGAAAGAGGGGAGAUGUUUUUCAUGAAACGUCGUUCGUUAAAAAUCGAGACGAGAGAAACGAAUAAAAGAGAGUAAUGGUUCUUUUCGAACGGAAUAGAAAUGGUAUAGAAACACGCAUCGACUCUUCCUUCUUCCUGUUUCCUCUCCUCGCCUCUUCGACGCCGUCUUCCCCUUUCGAGCAGGUGAAACAAAGACCCCGUUUGAUUUUCAUUUCCUUCUGGAAUGCCAUUUACAGUCUGUGUUUAAACGCCCCCUCCAUAUUCGAUUCAAACUAGAAACGGGCCUGCACCGCGACACAUCUCGCCGCCUCUUUCAUCCACGUGUUUAUUCUGCGAGUUAUUCGAUAUAUCGCGGAUAUACGUAAGCGAAUGGAAAUUGCGAGAUAGCCGAUUGUAAGGCCAUGACAGAGUGUAAUUUGAUAUGUCUAUUUUGUCAGGGGAAUAGGUUUAGUUAAUCCCUCCUUUAUACGCGGAAUGGAAUAUCGCGGACGCGUCUGCAAUCACGCGUUAUAAUUGUAAUGGAGAAUAUCGCGGAUAAAAUAAAAUAAUAUCCGGAGAAUCGGGCGAAAUUCUUAUUGGAUAAGAAGAUAAAAAUGAAAAAUCAGGAAAUUGAUGUUUUAUAUCGUCUCUAAAUUUUAACGUUAUUACCAAAUAUCAAUGAACAAUUGAUAUUAUUACCACAAAAUAUCAAAUCAUCCUUUAUUUGUUCUAAUGCAAGGAAAGAGGGACAAUUAAAUUUUCGUUCCAAAACGAAACGAUACGCGAAUAACAUAUUUCCACGAAUCUAUUUAUUUCGGGGAACAAAGUUUCAUCGCACCCUGGAACUCGUCCCUCGUUAAGAGAACAAAAGAGGAAAAUUCGUAAAUGGUGGUGGGUAAACGUGAUCGAGUUUAACCGUGUUUUCGCCGUGGAUCAGUCGGAUAUGCCCGCUUAGAAAUUCGGAAAUCGAGUUAAUGCCCGUCACAGGGGCCGUUAAUUCGCGAGGCGCUGGGCGCGAGAGCGAGCGGGAAUCGCCUCAAGUUGAAGCGAUUAAAUCGCGGCCGAAUGCCGAUCUGAAAUUACACACGGUGCACCAGGAUUAUUACUGGAUCGCGUAAUACAUGGAUCGUGUCGGAUUACGGCUGCAUUUCUGUCUUACUUGUCUUACCCGCGACAUCGAACGCAACGCUGGAACAAGAUACUGAGAGAUGAAAGGGAGAGGAAGGAACGCUGUGUCUGCGAGCGAUUUCUUUCUUUUUUCUUUUCUUCUCUUUUUUUUUUAAGACGCGUUUGCGACACGGCCGUGCGAUAAUGAUUGGAAUUCUUAAAACCGUAUUCUAGCCGCGUUCUCACGAUAUGCUAAUGCUUUUGCGGGACGAUCGUCGCGUUCAUUGAAGCGUAAAGAGCGAUGUAAGUGUAUUUGAAAGUAUAUACGUUCGAAAUAGUGUCGAUUUUAUUGGACAAUUGUUCGAUCGAAAAAUCUCGAGCGUUUCAAUAUUUACAAGAAUCAUAAGAUAUAUUCAUAUAUAUAUAUAUUCAGUGCACCACGGCCAAUCGCUCUUCUAAAUAAUUUUGAUUCGUCGUAAAACUAUUGAAGUACGGAAAAAUUAAGACGGAUCUCAAAUAAUCUUGAGAAUUCGAAAUUAGCUCUGAUAAAUUUAGAAACGAUGGAACAAGUGGCUGUAUAUCCACGAUCGAAACGAGAUGGAAAGGGGGAAGGUGGUUGAUUCGUCGAGUAAAUGGAAAGCGGCCGCAUCUAAAUGAAGAACUUAGCCUGUCCUAACUGCGGUUGAAUUACGUGGCGGCUGCUUAACGCGUCCCCAGCCACGUUAAUUACGUUAAACUGCCGGCAGGAAUUAAUUUUGCGGGACGGAGAGCUUUAUCUUGGAGAGCGUGGACAAGAAAUGGCGCGCGAUAAAGCGAGCCAGGCCACCCUUGCCGCGCCGCGGAAUUGUUUGAUUCGUGCUCGCCCUUAAAUAAAAAGGGAUUAAGGAGGAUGGGACGACCAACGCCGGUCGGAAGAUAAAUAGAAGGCGAGGAUUCCGCGUUGUUUAAAUUGUUGCGAUUGACUUCGCAAGGGAAGAGAAAAAAGGAGAGGUUUAUCUUGGAAAUUCAAAAGAAACAAGAUUGGUCCUACGAUUGAUUUUUCGUCUCGUUUUGGAGAAGAAAACGAUCUUGUUAAACGUACAUCUGAUCGUUAUUCUUAAAUACUUUAUUUUUGCGUAUAUAUAUAUACGUAUAAUUUAAAAGAAAUCAACAAUUCCUUUAAAUCAUUAUGCAUAUAUACGGCAAACCGGUAAACUGAAUAUAAACAUGCUUGCUCGACAAACCAUUAAUUCAUAAAUCAAUAUUUACGGUAUUUACAACCAUUCAUCGUUACAAAUAAAUAAAAUACGCAUAUCCCGUAUAUAUUCUCCAUUAAACUCGAAACAAUAUUGCAAUAUUGCAAGCUACCAAUGUGUCCAAUUCAAUGGAAAUUCAUAUGUUUUUUUAUUGAAAAAAAAAGAGUCAGAAAAACCUAUACUAAUUACAGUAGAACGGAACGGUAGAGAGAAACGAGAGACUUUGAAAAUGCAUUUUAUUUCGUAUGGAUACCUCUAUUAGUUUUCCAGAUAUAGAAGAUCGUAUUUGCACGUUCCAAAUGCAUAGGAAGCCUCAAUGACCGGGAAAAUUUCAGGAAAUGGCUUGACCUACUAUCCCCUCCCUCCUGAAAGUGCAUCUAAUAAAAAUGAUAAAAAAAAACGACGACUUAAUGUUUUAUCAUUAAUCAUCGCGCAAGUAAAGAGCUUGAGGAAGGCCAGGAAAGGAGUGUGACAAAGAGGAUCACAAUCAAACGAGGGAGACAGCGAUAUUGAAAUAUUAUAAAUUACGUUUCACUUUGAACGACGAUAAUAUCUGGAAAAAUAUGAAUCGAGAUGAAUUUUAAAGAAUGGAGUUCCUGAUAAAUUUUAUUUCAUCUUAAUACGAUCUGGUUUUAUUCAAAUUAGUGUAUUUAUAAUAAACUCUUUCGAUGUUGUUUGUACUCCAUAUUAAUGAUUACAAAAAAAAUUGGAUAAAACAGGAAUAAAUAAUUGUCAUUAUACUUUCUCAAA